rnacentral:lncRNA from 1 species
GCGUUCUUCAACUCCUUUCGCACGCUUUUGUAUGCCUCGCAGCAGAUUAAUAGUCGCGGAGUUCCCCUGGCUCGUUGAAGCUGCCUUCUCUAUUCCUUCCAUGUCCUCGCUCCACCAGAAGACUGGGACAUGGUGCCUCCCAAACGUACUUCGCUGACGCGUCCCCCAGUUGUGUCGCCCGCUCGUUGGCUCCGUCAGACUCUGAUGCCGU